rnacentral:tRNA from 1 species
UGUGAGGUGGUGUUAUGGCACAUAAAGUUUUGGACUUUGAGGCGGCAGAUCGUUCUGUUUCUCGCAG